rnacentral:rRNA from 1 species
CGGAAGAUGUAACGGGGCUAAACCAUGCACCGAAGCUGCGGCAGCGACACUAUGUGUUGUUGGGUAGGGGAGCGUUCUGUAAGCCUGCGAAGGUGACCUGUGAGGGUUGCUGGAGGUAUCAGAAGUGCGAAUGCUGACAUAAGUAACGAUAAAGCGGGUGAAAAGCCCGCUCGCCGGAAGACCAAGGGUUCCUGUCCAACGUUAAUCGGGGCAGGGUGAGUCGACCCCUAAGGCGAGGCCGAAAGGCGUAGUCGAUGGGAAACAGGUUAAUAUUCCUGUACUUGGUGUUACUGCGAAGGGGGGACGGAGAAGGCUAUGUUAGCCGGGCGACGGUUGUCCCGGUUUAAGCAUGUAGGCUGGUUGUCCAGGCAAAUCCGGAUAAUCAAGGCUGAGGUGUGAUGACGAGGCACUACGGUGCUGAAGUAACAAAUGCCCUGCUUCCAGGAAAAGCCUCUAAGCAUCAGG